UACGGAGGGUGCAAGCGUUGUUCGGAAUUAUUGGGCGUAAAGCGCGCGCAGGCGGGCCAUUAAGUCUGAUGUGAAAUCCCUCGGCUCAACCGAGGACGUGCAUUGGAUACUGGUGGUCUUGAGUCCUGGAGAGGGAAGCGGAAUUCCCAGUGUAGAGGUGAAAUUCGUAGAUAUUGGGAGGAACACCGGUGGCGAAGGCGGCUUCCUGGACAGUGACUGACGCUGAGGCGCGAAAGCGUGGGUAGCAAACAGG
rnacentral:rRNA from 1 species